CCCUACCCACUUCCUCACCAUUGGGGUCAGACUCCUGCUUCUUUCUGUGGCUCCUCCCUACCGGAAGUACCAAUUCAACUCCAUCCUUCUAGGGCAGGCGGGAUCCCACAGGAGACCAGGGCUGUGCUGCAGCCAUUUCAGAGGGGUCCUUCUGAGGUUGUCUUGAUUGCUGACUGGGAUGAGGGCUCUUUCUCUCUAGGGCAAGGCGUCUGUCCAGAUGGGCUCAGCCUCCCUGCAUACCCGCAAGCAGCCCUGAUGAGGAAAGGGGUUGAUACAUGGGGUGCUUGUUUCCCGCGCUUGGAAACAAAAAGUUGUCUUGGAGUGACCAUAGGCAAGGCAAUAGAAUGGUCAUGGUCUUGUCCUGAGAAAAUGGCCCCAUCUUGUAGUUAACCUUGGUGCUCCUGACUGGCAGAAGAACAAGAGGUGAACACAUAUGUCACCAGCUACAGGAGACGGUGAACGAGAGAUGAUGGGAAAUAGAUAAAACAACCGGGGCCACCAUCAAUGCAGGCCCAGUAACCUCAAGUGUUACCAUUCCACUAAACUUACAGCUAGAGUCCUGGCUCCACCCCUCCUUGUGACCUUAGGCCCAGUGUUAGCUUUUCUGAGCCUCUGAUCUCAGUUUCCUCUUGUAUUAAAAAAAAAAAAAC
rnacentral:lncRNA from 1 species